GGAAUAUUGGACAAUGGGGGAAACCCUGAUCCAGCCAUGCCGCGUGAAUGAUGAAGGCCUUCGGGUUGUAAAGUUCUUUUGGUGGGGACGAUGAUGACGGUACCCACAGAAUAAGCUCCGGCUAACUUCGUGCCAGCAGCCGCGGUAAUACGAAGGGAGCUAGCGUUGUUCGGAAUUACUGGGCGUAAAGGGCGCGUAGGCGGUUUGACAAGUUGGAUGUGAAAGCCCUGGGCUCAACCCGGGAAUUGCAUUCAAGACUGUCUUACUUGAAUUCGGUAGAGGUGAGUGGAAUUCCCAGUGUAGAGGUGAAAUUCGUAGAGAUUGGGAAGAACACCAGUGGCGAAGGCGGCUCACUGGACCGACAUUGACGCUGAGGCGCGAAAGCGUGGGGAUCAAACA
rnacentral:rRNA from 1 species